GCAGACUUGACGCAGCUUCAUCUCAUUCCUGAUGGAUCCUGAGCCCCUCAGUGCUUUACUCCUGCGUGAGCGCUGUGAACUGGACCAAAUGGGUUGAAAAUGGCCAGAAGUUGCUCUUUAUCACUUUAAAUCUUUUAUGAUAAAGAAAAAAACUUCAAUUUCUGACCAGUUAAAAUCCAUCUGAGCCAGUAAACGCUCAUUGGGCAGAGCUGGAGUCUGAGGUCGGUAAAUCCAGGAAGAUGGCUGAAUGCUUUGCUGACUCAAGCCCAGACAAGGAGCCAGAUUUCUUGGAUUCCAGAUUCACUUCUUUCUUGGCUUCACCCUGGACCUGUGGUGACUGGAGGCUUUGUGAUAUGAUGAGGAAACUGAGGCUCCAAGAGCUUCUGUGACUUGUCCAAGGCCAUACAGCUAGUUCACAGUGAGGCACAGAAUCAGUUUAGAAGCACUUCGGGGAAUUUGGAUACUGUUUGGUGGCCUGGCAAGAUCAGCACCCUUACUAUUUUAGUCCCUGCCAGUCAUCAGCCUCUGGUUUUCCUGUUAUCCUCUGCUCCCUGUUAUGUAGCUACUAAGUGGCCUAAGAGCCAGCACCUUCACAAAGUAGCAAAGGUAAGGCCGUUCUUCCUUGUUUUUUGUUUUCUGGAAAUUGCUUAUGCAUUUCAGACCCAGCUUACCUGUGUUUGAAGGAGCCUGCACCGGGAGCUGGAAGGACACAGUGCUCAUUCUGGGGUCAUACUGACUUGAGUUUGGUUCCUAUCCAAAUGAUUUCACACUAUCCAUCACAUGAAGUUUCAGGUCUAUUAUUAAAGAAAAUAUUUAGAAUACUACAACACAUAUACACAUAUCCAGAUAUAGGUGAAUACAUUAUUUCAGCUUUGGAUGAACUAAAUAUAUAAAAUAAGGGAAGAGUUACAUGUUUGCCUAUUUAAAAAUGUAAAACUCUAUAAAAACAUGAAUGACAUUAAACAUAAGUGGUCAACUGGGCACUCAGAUAAUAAUAUAAGGUAUAUUCUGUCCUUGCAUGAUUUACAUAUUUGCAAAAUUGCCAUUUGGCACAAUUGAGUGAUAAACCCAAGAUCAAUUCUGGUAUUUGUGUGGUUAUAUUUGGAUAAAUAUAGUGACUGAACACCCACUGUGUAGGAUUUUAGCAGAAGUCCAGUUAUGACUUUUUGUUUUCAAUCUUACAUUGUAAAUAAAGUUGUCUGCAUAGUGUGUUAAGUGCCACAAUCCUCAUACUUUUUGAUAAGUUCACUGUUCAAAACACUCCCCAACGUAGUACUGUUGAGUGCUUCUAAGUUUAAGAAGGCUGAGAGGUACCUUACAGAUACUAAUGAGUAUCACAUAAGCUUCAGUCAUGUGUGAUGGUGCUGCUGGCUAUAAUUUUGUUAAUGAAUCAUAUUUAUACGAUGGGUCAGUAUUCACUAGAAUAGUGUUUGCCAUGAUUUUUAUCAAAGUUAUCAAUUGUGAAUAACAAGAAGCAUGAUAACUAUCAAAAAUGCUGAUUACACAAGCUACAAUGUCAAUUUAUGAGGGAAACAAUGUGAACUUCAUCAAAAGCAAGCGAAAGUAGUACAUAGGUUAAGUGACUGGACAGAGACAAACAAAUCAUGCAUGUUAACAUUAUUGGAAAACUCUUUCAUUUACUAACAAUAAAAGAAUUCAAGUUGGAGUAACAAUGACAGGUCAGUGUUGUUGCCUAUCAUAUUAGAAAAGAUUUAUGAACUGUGCUGGCCACAGUACAAUGAUCUUAAUCACUUUUUUGUAUACUACCAGUGGAGUAAAUCAACAUGACAUCAUAGGAAGUGGCUUAGUGGCCUCUAAAAAAACUUGUACAAAUUUUAGUACAUCAUUGAAAUUGAACUUCAAAGUAUGUCUUCUGAGAAGUAAAUGUUCAGCUCUACAUAUCUUUAGUAUAAUGUUACUUGUAAGAACAAAGGUAGAAAAAAUUACAGGGAGUCUUUUAAGAGGGAGAACAGAUGUACUGUGCAUAGAAACAGGACAUAAAUGAGCCUUACAAAAUCCUUAAAUUAUUCUCAAAGAACAGUUGAUAACAUGAAAAACAUUUUAUCUUCGUUGAAAUAAAGCAGAUGACAUAUAAGUUAAAAAUUAAGUUACACUUUUAUCAUAAUACACUGAAGUAGGUCAAGUUGAAAAUAAAUCAGUUUCGGGGUGAAACUCAUUUUAAGUAUAAUCCAGUACAUACAAGUUGAGGGAACCUUCUAACCUGCUCCUCAGUAGCCAUCCAUCUCAUGUAGUUGGGCAUGCUUUAGGAGAUGGGAUAAUGAGUUGGCAUGAGCAAUGGAGUCUUACUGUAUUGAUCAGACAAGGAAGAACAGACUCACCUUUGGCCAUGCACAGAAAGGAAAAAUUUCAUUGAGACUUCUAUGAAAUUAGAUGAACUGUCUCAGUUCUUAGAAGGCAAGAAGAAGAAGAAGAAGAAGAAGAAGAAGAAGAAGAAGAAGAAGAAGAAGAAGAAGAAGAAGAAGAAGAAGAAGAAGAAGAAGAAGAAGGCGUCAACAACAAUGAUGAUGACUAUGACUUUGCAGCUGAGUCUUAAAGGAUAUGUAGAAUCUUAGGGUUGAAAUACAGGGUAAGUAUUGACCUUUUCAGCUUCAACAGUGAUACCACUCUAGACUCUGAAGUCAAUGACUUUAAGAGGCAUUGAAAGUGGUUCUCUUUUGGGAUGUAUAUACCUAGAAGUUUCUAGUACUUUCAUCUAGGGUUCAGGUAAGUUGCCAUAAUCUAAUGCUCUGACCCUAAUUUUAAUAGAUAAAAGACAUAAAUAUUUCAUGAAUUGUACACCAUCUGAUGAGUCACACAUAUAUGUAAUAUGGAGAAUGAGUGAAGGGGGGAAGAGAUAUCAGAGACAGGAUGAGAAAGAAACAAAUAUUUGUUAAGUACUAGUGAGCUCUAAUAGUACAUAGGCCAUUUUAAUUUUACCUAAUAUGCUUGAGGCCAUUAUGUAGGCAUUCAUUCCAAAUUCCAGUGUUGCCCUUAAAAAUCAAUGAGGACAGGAAAGAUAGAGCUAGAGUGACAAAUGGACAAUGGAAGUGAUUAGAGGUAGUUGUAGGUAGAAGUGUUUUUCAAACUAGCUACAGUGAAGGUACAGAGAUUAUUAAUUGGCCUAACUCUAAUGUAAACAUAGAUAAGGGGAAAUUAAUUCAUAGAGCUGUACAAGGGUAUAUGAAACAAGCUAUGACCACACCCCACAAACUGAAGACCAUGGUACCAGUAAGAGGUGAUCAGGAGUUGCAACGUGUCUCCCCUGGAGGAUGGGAUCAGCUACUGAGAGUGGUUGAGACUGAAGUAGGGUAUAUUGGAUGAAAGAGACUAUUCCUUACUUUGUUAACACUUCUAUACAUAUCAGCUCACUCUGCAUAUGGUGUUUUGGACCAUACUAAGUCAGUGACUAGAAUACAGGUGUGUCAAUAUUUAUAAAUGUAUCUAACAUCUCUUGAAGGACACAGAAGAAACAUAGUGAUCAUUCUCUGACAAGAGAACCUGGUAGAAGUGGGAAGAACACGUAGUCAAUUUUGUACCUCUUGCUUUUGUAUUAUACACUACUGCCUGCUUCCAACAAGAAAACUACACACACACACACACACACACACACACACACCUUCAUUUUUAUCCAGAACUAUAAUCACAACGAGUUCCCUUUCUUGUCCAUGAACAACCUCCCCACUGACAAUUUAAAACCAUAUUCUAUCCUUACUGGCCACUUGGCAUAGGAUCUAAUUGGCAGGAUGGAAUUAGCAAAAGUAGCCUCCAUGUGGGAAAGGGAAGCAUACUCUGUGAAGCGGGAUCCUGAAGUCAACAGUACUGCUAGUAUUACUAUUUCUUCAGACUGUUAAGUAGACAGGCAAGAGACCUUCUUCACUGGUUUGAAUGUGGAAGAUAAAAACCAAGAAACAAAGAUUUGUUGAGAGAAGCUGAAGAAAUGGUCAGGGAGAGGUCAUGCAGCAACUUACUGAAAUCUAGCUGUGUUAAGAUAGGUUUGCAAGUGUUAAGAUAGGGCUGUUCAGAAAGCCUUCUGUCAGCUAUCAGAUCCCAUAUCAAACAUACACAUGACCAUUUAUAUGAGCAAAUCUUCAAAUUAGUCUUUUGGAUUCUGCUGGGUUUUAUCAGGCUUAUUCAACAAAAUUCAAGUGCCUGUUGUAAGGAGGGUCCAGAACAGAGCAGUAGUUGUGGGCAUUCACAAAGAGAGAAGGUUUCUGCGAAAACCAAUGGUUCCUGAAUGAGGGUUUUGUGAUGGAUUAGGGGCCAAGUGUUGUGGAUUCUAACAGAGCCGAUAUAGUGCUUGGUUCCUAGUAGGUGCUCAGUAAGUGUUUGUGACAUAAUUCGUUUAUUGAGCACCUCCUAUCAAUCAAGCACUGUGCUAGGCUCUGGGGCCACAUAGCUAAGUUAGACAAGAUGUUCCCUUUUGAGGUCCUUAUUUCUAGUAGUGGCUAUAAUAGAAUGAUUAGUUAUAACAACAGUGCUGAGAGGGAUAAGAGGAUAUGCCCAGGAAACAGAAGCAAGUUGCACUGUGGGAAGAAGCUGCGAAUAUACACCAUUUAUUCCAAAACCUUAGGAAGGAAAGGAGAGAAGGUGACAGCAAAUAGAGAGGUAAGGGUGAGAAGUUUUACCUUGAGAAUGAGAGGCUUGAGCAUAAUGUUCCCAUUAGAGAGGGCAGGAUGAAGAUUCAAGAGUUAAGGCAGUGAGCAAGGGAAAGUCAGGUAGGUCUGAGGCUAUAGAGGGGGUGAGAGUGGAACCUGGCUAGGAUCUCCACACGAAGUCUUCUGAAGCACGAGAGUGUGGACUUGCAGGUGGUACCAGGAGAUGAUGGAGAAAGUUAAGAGUAUGCAAAGGGCAGUGAUUGCAACGAUAAAUUGCAGGUCCUAGGGCAGUUUGAGAAGGUGAUUAAGAUGCAAAUGAUGGAAACAAGGAAAAGGCCUUAUUGGCGCAGAAGCAGCCAGAGUAUACAAGUAGAGGACGACACAGGUGUCGUGGUCUGGAAUGACAAAAAGAUUCUGGGUGUGACCAAGGAUGUGAAUAAAUGGUGUAGGCAUAGCAAGAGGUUAUGGUAGUUGAACCAAGAAGUUAGGGCUUUCUGAUUAUUUCCCAUGGAUGUUUAAAUCCAUGUGAUCAUACAAAGGCUUGUACCAGGAGUCCAAGAUCAAUUUUGGGGGUUAAUGUUUGGAAGAAAGUAAGCAGAUACCAGUGAUGACAGCAUUUGUUUGUUGGAGAAUGUAAAUACCCUAGCUAUUCAUUACCUGAAACAGGAGGUGAGCGUCUGUCAUCUUGGCUUCCCUCCUCAUGGAAUUCUUACUGAAAUGAGAUAGAACACUCCAGCUACAAUGGGAAUCAACCAGUGUCUGUGGAGUACAGCCUGUCCCAGCAGUCCUAGAUGCCUAAAGGACUAGCUAUCAGGAUAAGGCCUGUGUUACUGUGCUAGUCAGUAGCAUGCAACUCUGCAGAAGCACUGAGAGGCUCAGGAAUGAAGAAAAACGGAAUCACACAAAGGAAUGGAUGUAGUAUUUUCUAGGUUAAUUCCUAGAGAGUGUGGUGCAUGCUGAUCUUUCAAUGUUUUUCCUUGGUCUAUGCAAGAAUAGUGGUGAUAAUGACACAUGAAACUGUUUGUUUGGCCAAUGACGUGAGAGGAAUGACAGGCAGGGAGGGAAAGACUUUCUGUGACCAGAAGAGUUUUUGAGGUACAAUUUUGAUUCACAAUUGGUGGGGGUGGUGUUUUUUGACAAAGAGUAGUGGCAGACAUUCUGAUCUUUCGCGAAACGUGUGAGGAAAAACUGCAGAAAACAUGGAGGAGCUUCGAGAAACACUUAAGAUGUUUUCUUUCACAGUAACAGCAUCUGGAGCCACAACAAACAAUAGCUAUAGUGAUGACGGUAGCUAAUAUACACAUAAUCUGAUCCCAUGGAAGUGCUCUGUUAAGCAUGGUUAUUUGCAUGAAUUCUUUCAGUACUUAACAACAGCUUUUUAAGGUCUAAGUAUCUAUAUUUAAUCCAUUUACUGUUGUGUAAUAAAAUACAUGAAACAGGAUACUUUAAAAGUCAAAGACUACUUUAGCUUAAGGCCCCUUGACUUUGCAACCAGGGUCCCAAGGCUGUAUUAGAAUCAUAUGACAAGGGGCAAAGAGCAUGUGUAGGAGACUAUAGCUUCCCUCAUUCCUUAAUCUACCAGAAUUCAACUAUGAGAGCCCCACCAUAAUGGCCUUAUUUAAACUUAGUCACCUCUCAUAGGCCCUGUGUCUAAACAGCAUCGUUGAAUUAACUUUGUAUCUUCUUAAUACAUUACAGGGGGAAGAAAUGUCAACAUAUAAAGUUGCAAGGCACCCUCAGACCAUAUUCAAAUUAUUGUGGUGCUAGUAUUACAAUAAUUGCUGGUGCUCACUGGUAAAAUGCUCAGCUAGCAUGUGCAAAGUCAUAGGCUCAAUCUUUAGUAGCAUUAAGUAAACACUUUAGUACUAAGAAAGAGUGUAUUAAGUACAAAGCAAGAGUGUAUUAGAAUUCAAAUCCUUGUAACCCAUUCUGAUGAAGAUAUGGGUAUGAAGAGUGUCAAAUAUCUAUUGUUGGCCUAUGUAGACUAUAAACUGUAGAUUGUAUACUUUUAAAAAAAGCUCUUGCUGCAUUCUUCCUGGGAUUUGGUUCCUGUGUAUACAAAAUAGACUGGUGCCUGCCUGGAUUUUUUGUGAUUAUGACAUGCUGUGAAAAUUACAUGUUGCUGUGAAAGAAAUCUGACAGGGGUCAGAAGCCUUCAAAAGGGCAUAUGAUUAGCUAGAGCAUACUUGCAAAAUUGAUUGUCUUUGGAAGACGAGACAAGGAGCCUAUAAAAUGUUUCCCUGGGCUGAAAUGAAACCAGGGCUUCAGCAUUCCAGAUAAGCUAUCUGCCAUUACAAUAUAAACAGCUUGUUUAUCAUUUUGUUGAAACCAGGUAGCUCAUUAUUAACUUGACCAUCACUGGUAGUUUAAAAAGGUCUUGAACUGAUGAUCCUCCAGCCUUAGUCUCACUGGUAGCUGGACUUACAGGCCAGGAUUGGCUGGGUGGGUAUUUAUUUUAAAAGAAAUAUCCUAUUUCAAUUACAUCCUAUAAGUAUUUAUAUUAAUUCAUUUACUAUGAACUGAGAAAAUGAUAUAUAUGUAUGGCCAUUCAAAAGAGUUAUUUCUUCCUUUGUGGUUCAUUGAAUUUCAUUUUUAAUAUUGGAACUCAGCAAAACUGUUGCAUGUUCUGGUAUAACAUUUCCUGUACCCCUUUAUCUUUCCCAUUGCCAUUCUGCCUCUCUCCUUUGAGGUCACAUGUGAAGUCCCCUAAUUUUUUAAGCUAUCCUGCUUCAACCUUUCUAUAUAGCUCACAGCCUUUUUCUACUAUGAAUUCAAAGUCUCUCAGUCAUUUGUAAUUGCUAGUCUUUGGGAAUUGUUUAUUAUAGUUAAGCUUGAAGAUUAAUUAACACAUCUCUAUGGCCUCUUCCUGCACUGUGAGGCAUUGGUUCUCUUAAAGCAAGGACUUUACAUUCCCAAGGUCAAGUUUUCCUCAGUUAGUUCUACUUCUCUACAUCAGUAUUUAUGGUGUCUUUGAUUGUUUUUCUAGGUUCAGCCUAGGGAGUUCCCAAUGUUUAAAUUAACAGCAACAGUGAUCUAUAUAGUCUCAAAAGGGCUGAUGCUUGCAUGGUGGCCUUCUGAGCAUCUGCCAUAUCCAUCUGCUCUUGUAACCGUCUCUUCUUCCUCCUUCCCAUGCUGUAUACAAGGAAUGAACCAUAAAAGCAGAAACUCCGUCAUUCUUCUGAACCAUUUUUUAUGUGUCCUCCACUUCAAUAUUACGUUGCCUGUUUGAGCUUUACUUUGCAUAGUAGACUUGCUCAGUCUGGUCACUGUGGAUGAGAACCACAUUGUUUAAAAGCCCUUCAAUAUGUGAACUGUUGAAAAUCGUGCAGCAGUGGGUUCUGCUGGCUCUGGGAUGAGGGCUUCACCUCAUGUAUUUGUACUGCCCUUAUACUAGUUACUGCUGACCUCAGAAUCAGGUUGAGAAUUCAAAGAAAAUCAAACCCUUAUGUGUUGCCCUAAGGCAAAACUGUACCUCUUACUACCUUAAGUGCCCGAUUUCCAUUAACCACAUUUUUUCCCCUGGUGAAAAUUAAUACCACAUUGAAGGAAGAUAAAGUCACAUGGUCUUUAGCGCAGUGCCAGUACAUGAUUGUGGAUGAUGUAUAAAGGCAAGCAAAAGAUAGGAACAUAUCUAUGUGACAACAUAGAGUCAAUCUACACUACUAACAUAUCCAAAACUGGAUAGGACACACCAUCUUAUAGAAUUAUCCCUGGCUUCUUUUCUAAACACACGGCACCACAAUGAAACAGAGCAGAAAAAGAAGGGUUCUGGUAGGAGCUAGAAUGAUUUUCUUGCCUUUCUUCAGCUCUAAAAGUAAUCUAGCUUUGCCCUAGCUCAAUGUCUGCUCACCUCCUUAUGUCAGUCUUAAUUAACAGCAACAACAAAAGUCCUCAGAGGACUGAGCUCACCAUCAGAAAAGGAUCAUAGAAGUCAUCUAAUUCACACAUACCUCAAGGCCUGCCAAGCUCCUGUGUGGGGUUACACCUAAAACAAACUCUAUACAGGGCUUGUCAGGAAAAGCUGUCCAGUUGUUUUUUCCCACUCAGGGAACCUGGAGUGCAAAAGAGCAAAGCAAUCAGCAGCUCAGCUUUACUGGCCUUCCGGCCACAUGCAUAUAUAUUUCUCAUAAAGCCUUCUUCCCCAAUUCCUAGGCUCCAACUCACUUCUUAUCCUUGGUUCCUCCCUGAGUGUGGGACACACACACACACACACACACACACACACACACACACACACACACGCAUGCACCCACACACUCACAUGUUCUUAAUGCAGAGCUAAGAACAUCUACAAAAGGACCAUGUAGGACACAGCUCCUUUACACAUAGCUGGCUACGGUGAUUUUAAUGUGGAUGCUUAUAUUCAAGAAAAGUAUUAAAUAUGCAAGUAUCACUUUAAUAUUCCGGGCAAAUUUCAUUUUAAUGACUAUGACUACAAAUGGGUCAGAGUUACUGAAGAAAGUAGACACUCUUAGAACUUAUAGUACAGGGCCUGUUGGUCAUUCUGGGAGGGGAUAUAGCUUUCAAGAGUGGUGUGAAGUUUAGUAGAUGAUAAUAAUUCCUGUCUUCAAAGUGCACCCCCACAAAUGGCUAAGAGACAAAGUAUUUUUAAAGGAAACAAUAUAAAGAACUUUUAAAAAGAAAAACAAAUCUACCGAAAAAUCUAAAAACAACUCUUCACCUGCCUGCAAACUCCCUAAGAAGCAAAAACAAAAACAAAACAAAACACUAACAAACAACAACAAAACACACACACCCACACCCACACACACCUUAGAGCAGUUAAAACCCAAGGUGGUGGUGAGGCACAGCAAAGAAAAAUUAAACCAAACCCUGUUUUCUUUUUUACAAAGAUGAUAGAAGAAGAAAAAUAAACACAACCUCCAUAAAACAACAAAGCAAAACCCACCAAAACCAGAGUAAUAGGACAUAAAGUAAAAGGAAAUCUAAUAAAUAGAGAAAGGGAAAAAAUUCUCAGCAAUGACAAUAAAAAAUUCUAAACAUUGAGAGAAUAAAGAGAAAUAAAUUAUAAAAGGAAUUAAGAGAAGGAAAACUCUUAUGUAUAAUAGAAAAGGAAUGAGGCAGGGAGACUCAGCAUGUUAAAAAAACAAAACAAAACAACAAAAACCUUUGGGAGAGAUAGGAAGGAUUUGCUUUUGUUAGGCUUGUGGAGUGGGAGGUAAAUAGCCAGAAAACAUGGCUGUCCACAGUGCCCUUUGGGAGCUGUUGGAAGGCAUGAAAGGGCAUGUUAUUGUAACAUAGGCAGACAGGCGUUUAAGUGGCUCAUUACCACCAUAUUAACUUUCACAUGUGAGUCUGAGAAGCCCCGGAGACCUGCUUUAUUUCACCAGGGUCUGAGAGAUACCAUUUGUUGAUGGGCCAGAUCUAUGAUCUGUAUUGGGCCCCUGCCUGCCCAGAGAGAGAUAUAAGUUCAACUUUUUUUUUUCAAAAGCUAUUUUGAAAAUAAUGCAGGUUCUGUCUGGACCACAUCUGGGUGACUACUAGGUCUUCCCUCAAAGCACUUUGAGUCAGGGUUCUGGAACUUGCCAGCCAUCGAAUUCGCCAGGAGCCAGAAGCCAUCUUUGUAUUCACUUAAAAAUGUGAUUUUUUCCCCACAUAAAUAGGUGUGUGUGUGUGUGUGUGUGUGUGUGUGUGUGUGUGUGUGUGAGUGAUCAUAAACAGCCAGAAUCCCAAUGAGAAACAACUCUAGACAAUCACAGUUCCAAAUAGGAAUCUCAAAGGCAUUCAGCUUCGGAUUUGGAAUGCUGUGUUUAUUUUGUCAGUAUUAUUUAUUCUGUCUUUGAAAUACUUCUUGCUUAAAAAUAAUAGUUAAAUCCUUUUCCGCGAUCACAUUGACUUUUAAUUGAGUAGUACAGGGUGGUGUCUAGGAGGAAGCAUAUUCCUAACAUAUCCUUUAGUUGAGUCAUCCCAACAAGGAUCAGGAAAAUUUGAUGACAAUGAUUGCAGUGGAUGUGCAUUCUGACAUGCAGGUUUCCUGCUCUGGCCUUUAUCUGGCUGGAAGUGAAAGCAACAAGACAGCUGUGGUGAUGGGACACUGGGGGAACAAAUUUCCCACAGGUCACAUCAGUGGGUGGUCAGAAAGCAGACAUCUUUUACACUACCACCACAACCCCCCCACCCCCAACUGCAGCAAGUUUGUAAUUUUUCUGUGUCCUGAAGCCUGGUGCUUCUUGGCUCUGGUAUGCAGAGUGGUGCUUCUGAGCAUUCGGAGAGAGGAGAGCAGGAGUGUUGCUAGCACAUGUUGCAGUGCCAUCCAGUUGAUGGAUCAUACUACAAAGCUAAGUUAACAUACGUGGGAUAGGCAUGGAGACUAGAGGAAGGACUAAGAUCUAAAGUGAAGCCCAACCUGGAGGAACCAUGUAAUUUCAGGCAAGUCCCAUAACCUCUCUAAACUUCUAGACAAGGAACAUACCACAUGGAAAAUGAGUAUCAUGACUUUUCCCUCAUGAGGAAAAUGUAAAAACAGCUCCGAAUCCAAAACAUAACUAUACAGUAGCAGAGAUAUUGGCCAUUAAAGCGGGAUGUAAUGGUAGUUUGAAGUUGUCAUCACACAACAACAGAAAACAAAACCAAACAGGCUGAGAGACUGAGCCCAAGGCAACUUGGUUCUCCACAGUCUUCUAAACACUCCUUCUCUCCCCUAGCUCGCUCUCCACAAACCCUAUUUCAAAUGCACUGUUCCUUGCCUAACACUCUGGUGGCACUUUCAAUGGAAUCCAAACUUAGGCUCAAAUGAGAACUUGAAUAGACUGGUGCUAUGCAGCAGGGGACUGGACUAGAUUAUUGUUUUUACAUGCCAAAUAUUUGUCCCCAAAUACUGAUGUGUCAUGUAGAGCUUCUAAUUUAUUAGUUCUGCUGGUUAUAUUAUAAAGCAUAGAAGACAUUCUAAAACAAUGGUUACUUUCUGGGGUCAUCAUUUGCUGAAAGAAAAGGUAUUUGACAUUAAAAAAGUAGAGAUGAUAGAAUAUCGGGAUUAGAAGUUUUAAGUUUAUGAAAUAAUCUGUACAGUCCUGCCUCUCGUUUUCUUUUGGAACAGUGGAAUGUUCAACACGAAUAGCUGGCAGCUGGGUGCCAGUCUUUUCUCUGGGGCAAAUAGUAACACUCAGCUGUGCUACUUUCCCAUUUGGGGCCUCGUUUUGCCCAUCUCUACAACAGGGGUGAUUAAACCUAAUGAAAUACAAAGUGCUAUCCAGAUUCUAGAGCUUCUCUCUAGUCCUCAGAGUCUUGAAUUCUUGCUAGAAACGAAACCUCACUUCCAAUUACCUAACCCUGAACCAGGUAGUGGGCACUUCCCAUUCCUGGCAUACAUGAAGGAAAGCCUUUGCCAGCAGCCAUGAUGCAAAGCACCAGGCCCUUUGAUGUCCUUCACAGUUUGGGAGGGGUUGCUUCUGUGCCUCCACAGUGCUGCUUCUCGAACUUUCCCCGUGAACUCUUUUAGACUGUUUUGCUUCAUACUCACCCCCAAGUUGUAUAAUUGCAAAGCCUCUUGGACUGCCUGUGCUCUUUGUGUCUGUUUGGGCUUGGUUGCUAUAGAGAGAUUUUUACCUCUGGUCUCUUUCCUCUCUCCCUUUUGUCUUCCCCAAUAUGUACUUUCCAUGAAUUCCUCCCUAUUGCUUUUUUCUCUUGAGACAGAAAGCAUGAGCUCAACUGUUGGCAUGGUCCAUAAAUGGCAUUGUCUGAAUUCUUGGCAAAAUCCCAAUUGGGAAAUAUUGGGCUGUAGUUGGUUCUAGGUAGUUGGAGGAAAUAUAAAAUUAAUUAGUAACAUAAUUUAGGGCUUUACCUGCCUUGUAAAAGUGCACUAGUGUUUGUCCUAGAAAGCACUUUCUGGCUCUAAUCCUUCUCCACUGUUCUCAGAAGACUUGGAGUUUAAAUGAGACAUUUUGAGCUGAGUGGUCAUUUUACUGGCAACCCCAGCCUCACUAGUCCUGGGCAAGAAACACAAAAGAGAAUGUGGUACUUGAAGGCUACUGUCUUGGAGUUUGAGGCUAGCUCAGUCUGCACUUGUCUUCAUUUGUCAGUCCUGCUUCCUUGCCUGCUCCCUGCCUCCAGUGUCUCAUUUCAGAUUGUUUCCUUGGCAUCUUAUUGUGUGACAUCUAAAGAAUGAACCACAGAGAAAACAAUAACCAAUAAAUACAUAAGUAAAUAAGUAAAUAAAUAAAUAAUAAGAACCCCUAAACAACUGUGACACUCAAGAGACAGCUCAAGUUACAAUGGUUUCAUUAUUAUUAUUAUUAUCAUCAUCAUCGUCGUCGUCAUCAUCAUCAUCAAAUUUACUUAAAAAUAAGCCAAAGUGAUACAAUUCCAAAAUUCAAUUUGGAUUCAGUUCCUGUAGUUGUUCACUGUUAUGGGUGAUACGCUGUUUUGUCUCUGGGAAGGCCCUAGCUGAGGCAAUUUCCCUGUGAACCACAGCCUGCCCAGCCCCCUGCCUGCCUUCCAGUCCUAGUCCUCUUCAUUGCCCUAGAGCUGGGCCUUCGAAGCCCAGGGUAGUGGAAGCAUGGCACAGUACACUUCUGGGUUCUUCCAGCUGUACUCUCACUGGGGAAAAUCAACUUUGAAGUAAAGCUGGGGGCCUGCCAGGAAACUGAAAAGGGGUUAUUAAAAAUGGCCUUUUUCAAACCACCAGUGAUGUUUUGCUAGCAGAGGGUAACAGGUUACUUGGAAUCUGAACUGCUUUGGGUUUUGGAUUAAAUUGCAAAGUUGGCUGAGAUUUCAGACCCCCAGGGUCUUGAGGGCUGAAGACACAAUUGAAAGCAUAUUAGAUGCUGGCUGCAUCUAUACAAUACCAACCAAUGAGUUAAAAAGGGAGAAUUCACGAAAAUCUGUUUAUUUGGUGUCAUGAACACAAAAACAUAAGCUGGAGUUUAGCCUUGUUCUUUUUAAUUUAGUUUUAUUUUAAUAAAUCCAGACUAGAAUAUUUUGAAAAUGGAAAUAGCAUGCAUUUCUACCAAGCAUUAUACUGCUUUGAAUUUCACUAUAUUCACUCUCACAGCCCUCCCUCAACUUUAGGUAAGGACCAUUCUAUCUUAAGGAUCAAAGAAAAGGGCCAUGUGGGAUUCUUUCCAAUGUUUUAGUCUCCUAGCUCUCCCUUGCCCUGCCCCAAUGCACCUGCAAUUGUAGAAUUAGCCUUUUAACCUUUUGUUUAUUGAGAUCUUGAGAAGACUUUGGUUUCCAAGAGUCCCUGUUCCAAUAUUUAUGCUUGCACUGGUUUUUCUCACCAUCUCCUCUAGCUCAUAGUUGAAAUCCCUGGUAGUCCUAAGCCAUGUUCUCCAAGGUAUUCUCACUCACCCGGGAAGGUUUGCUUGGUAAAAUUCUUAAGGAAAAACCUACUACAAACUGUAUUAAUGUUUAAAUGGAAUCGCUGGCCAGAAAAACCCAGUGUUUUGAGUUAUUCUUGAUUUGAACAUAGCCACCUGGAUUUCUAUAAUGGAUUUAGUGUUCCAUGGCCUGCUUGUGCUUCUCAUGACUUGGAGGCCCCCAAGAAACAUGUCCAGAGGGACCUGUGGCCAAGCGCUGUCAAUGUUGCUAGGGUUUGGGGAUAGACAGUAACCUAUGUGUUUUCACAACUCAGGACCCCAGAAGUGACUUGAACUGCCUGAUUGAAGGAGGUCCCUAGCAGUGACCUCAUGUUUCCAUGAUGGGAGGACCAAGGUUGCAAUCCAGGUUUGGCUAAGGCAUACUGCAAUCCACUGGAGAACAGGGAUAAGGGCUUUGCUCUGCACAGUCUGUUUUAGUCUGUAGUUGGGAAGCAAGCAGUGAUGAUGCGUGUCAGUCUGUGGUCAGUUGUACUCCCAAGGAACUUUAUACAUUCUUCCCCCCAGGGUCCAUUUGCUAGGAGCAAAGGUAACACACAAAAGCAACAAGUGCACAGAGGGUGCCAACUCAGGGUUAGCACUUCCCACACCAUCCUAGUCCAGUUAGAGCAUCUUAGGCUCUGCCCUGGCCCUCCUAGUUGUCCCUUCCUAUGGAAUAUCUGAGGUGAAGGUUUGUCCUUCAUUCUCCAAAAGCAAUUGACAGAGGGAAGGUGAGGGAAAUUUUCUGCUGCCAUGGAAGGCCAGUGCUGGCCAGAGGCCAACUUUCCUGAGUUUCUCCCAGGCGGAUUCCACAAUAGAUGGGGGUAGGAGGAGGCACAAUUGGCCCAGACUGUUUUUAUUUGGUCUGCAGUGUGGGAGAUCAGACGUUCUGAAGAGAAUUGAAAACACUUCUUUCUUUGGAUUCCUGGGGCUGUGUAGGGGGAGCUUGGGCCCCACUUGGCACAGAGUUGAUUACAACAUUAAAAAAAAAAAAAAAAAAACCUCCAAUAUUGUUGCCCAAGGCUGAAUGGAAAGUUUUCCUUCUAGUCAGAGCUGACUCCUAAACCCCACACCUUCUUAAGCCUUUGAUUAGCAGACACCUGCCACCAAGGAGACUAGAAAAUAAUAAAGAUGCUAGGGGCUGCUCACAAAGUCGCUCAGGUUGGAUCAGCACUUAGGGAGGCUGGAUGGCGGAACAAUGCUCUGCCACGUCUGCUAGACCCCAAAGAAUCUGAGGCUCAGAACUCGUAUUCCAAAUUAACGAACAAAACAAGAUGAAAAAGACAGCUCUCUUUGACUCUGCUGAGGUUUUUUUUUUUUUAAUUUCUUAUUCAUUUAUAUGUACUGAAGUUAUUAAAAACAUGAUUUCAUUAAAUGGUGUUGUGUCCAAACCUUAACCUUAGUUGAUGGCUCCUUCUGAGGCAGGAAUGCCAACCACCUCCCAUUUUAUCAGUGCUUUUUAUUCAGAAUGUUUUAAGAAAAGAGGAAUAGAUACAGGAAGAUUGCUAUAUACUGAUGACCACUUUGGGGGGGUUGUUGUUGACAAGAUUGUGUUGGAAGAAACUUGUGGUUGAUACAAAGGGAAAAAAUAACAAGGACUCACAAACAAGAACUCUGCACUUGUUAGAUCCCUCAAAUCAACUGGUAAACAAACGAUCUCUGGAGCUAAAGCACUUUUCAUCAGUGCAAAGAAUUCUGUGAAAAUAUUAAUGAUUACAUAUUUAUAACCCCAUGGACUUUCAAAACAUAGUUUGGAUCACUAAGCAUACGGAUUUUGAUCCAAUGGGAGGUCAUUGUAAAAUGGCUCCUUCUGCAACUGGCCCUGAUGAGCUAUUUACCCAGAGCAAAGCACAUUGGCCCAGUUGUCUUGGUGAUAGACGGCUUGGCAACAAGAGCUGUCUGCACAGCUCUGAGGUGGAGUUGAACUGUCUGUAAUGUCUCCGUUCAAGUUUGGCUAAUUGAAAUCAGGAAGAAAAAUUAAUGUAGAAAGAAGGUGAAAAAAACUACACCUCCAGUUGGGUUUUGCAUGCCUGUUAAUGUGCUAGUUGGGUUUUUAAAAAUGGUUUAGGGAAUUCUGUUCUGUUAUUUUUACUGUGUUAUUGUUAUACACGAGAUGGCACAUUAGCUUCCAAGACAGGGCUAGCAGUUGUGGCAACAUGCCAGUUUCCCAAGGACCCCACGUCAAGUUAAGUUAAACCACUAUCCACAUGCCAUCAGCAGAACGUCUGAGGCAAAGAACAAGAGUAAGUCCGGAACCUGUUUCUAGAAGGUCACACUGCUAAUGCCCUGCUAAGAAUGUUGUAUGCAUAGACAAGAAAGGAAGCAAUGUGUUCAGAAGCAAAAGAAAUGAAGACAGGAGCCCUUAACUAAAUCAAGCCUAUGAACCUUCAGAAUUACAUGCAUAAAGUUGUGUGUAUUCAUAUUCAUUUUUUUUAGUCCUUGGCUUUGAUUAUAUUCUCUAAGGAGGUAACCUACUUCUAUAGGUAUUCAUGUUCACAGGCUUAUCCCUGUUUAGUUUUCCUGGUAGGCAGUAAUUGGGAGACAAGGGAAUGGGUAGAAACUUAGAUCCACUAUCUAGAAUGCUAUGUAGUUCAAGAUAACUGGAUGUGGAGAUAUACUACUUCAGAUCAGAUGAAAAGAAACAUUUUCCUUCCUCUUACCUAUCAUAGUAUGUAACAGAAUAAAGUUUAGACAAAUGUAAAAACAUAAUACGGGUUUAAUAUUUUACCUUUAUUGAAUUCUUUCUUAUUAUUUCAUCUUUCACUUCCGUGAGGUAUUGAAAUGUUUCCUCAUGUCUCCAUUUUAUAGAGUUGGUGCAUCUUUAAGUAGUUGUUGGUCAUAACGGCACCUCAUUUGACGACACAGUUUUCCUUACUCUGGUAAGACUCUCAGUUUCUUUUCUUCUGGACCCUCAUCAUUUCCAGCUCAGUACUGGAGGCAGGGAUUAUGACUCAGUGACAGAGCUGUUGUCUAGCAUGGGCAAGGCUCUGUGCUCCGUGACCAGUACUGAAAAAAAUCCAAAGCUGGACAUUUGAUCUAUUAUUAUCAAAAAACCAACAAGGAACUCAAAUUGUUUUGAAACUAUUGCUAUGUGGCAUAACUGCUCUACCUAACUGCAGUACCAGUUAGAGGAGGAGUUUACUUUUUCCUUUGUUACCUUUUUUGACUGUUGUUUUAUUGUUUGGAGUAUAUAUGGUUGCUUGUACAUGUGUGCUUAUGUAUGUGGGCACACAUGUGCAUGUGAGAGUGAGAAAGCUAGAAUUCAAUAUUGAACUUCUUCAAUCAUUUAUAUUUUCUGGUGUAUAGAGUUUAUCUUGUAUAUAGGGUAUGUGUGUAUGUAUGUGUGUGUGUUUGUGUGUGUGUUAUAUGAUGUAUAUGAUAUGUAUGUAUGAAUGCAUGUAUACAUGUUUGUGAAUGUGGCUGUGCAUGAACCUCACCACAUAUGUGGAGGUCAGAGUAUAACUUGUAUGCCAUAUCUACCUUCUGCUUUGAGAUAGAAUCUCUCAUUCCUUAUUGUGUAUGUCUACCGUGAACAUUGAAGGAUUCCCAUUUCUCCACCUCUUCCUUUUGAUAAAAGUGCUGUGAUUAUAGAUGAUCCCACAUGUAUAUAAUAUAUAAUGCGUGUACAUCUAUAUAUACACACACAAUUAUGUAGGCUUUGAGAAUUUGAACUCAGGUCCUCAUGCUUGUGUGGCAAGCUCAUCAUACACAGAGCUAUCUCCCCAGCCCUCUGCCUUACUUUCUGAGGUAAUAUCUCUCACUGAACCUAGAGCUCACCAGCUAGAAGCUCCAGUGAUCUGCUUAUUUCUACUUAAUCAGAAAUGGGAUAGCAGGUGCACUGCCAUGCCCGGCUCUUUUUUCUUUUAAUUGAUGUUUGAGAUGUGGACUUGGGUCCUCAUGCUUGUAUGACAAGCACUUUACUGAGCCAUCUCUCUAACUCCACUCCUGGUUUUAAAAAUAUCAACCAUUAUUACCUUCACAGUUAGAAAAAAUGAAAGUAUCAGCCAGGCUGAUUUGCCCAUCUCCUUUCUUCACUUUCUCUACCUCUCUGCUGCAGACCAAACCUAGAGUCUUGCCAAUGCAAGCACUGUACCACCGAGGGACAUGUGUCUGCAACUUGCCUUCUAGGUUGUGUCGAUCAUACGUUUGAACGGCCCCAGUUAGAGGAAUGUUAUAACAUCAUGCAUGAAAUUGCAUUGAGGAAUCCGAUUGAAGAAUUCCUGCAAACUCGGAGACUAAGGACAAGAGAACACAAUGUUGCUCAAGCAUCAUUUCUCUUUGGAGUCAUUUUACAUAUAUAUAUAUAUAUAUAUGCAUAUAUGUGUGUGUGUGUGUAAAAUCUAAAGGUCUACAUAAACUCUCAGAGAAUGGGAAUGUGAUUUUAUGAUUUAUUGAGUAAAAUUUUUGAACUUUAGAGAUGAGUAAAGGAGGCCAGGCCGCCAUUCUUUGUAAAUGGAAAGUAUAAAUGUGCCAGCUCUACUCUGCACCCUGCAUUUCACCUUCUGGUAAAGGCUAGCAUUGGGGCAAGUCUCAGGGUAAGGACAUCUGUUUUACACAUUACUAAGUAAUUUAGAAAACUGACGAAAGCAUGAUGGUUUAUUUAUCUUAAGCCACAUCAAAAUGGCUGGGUAAAAGUAGCCAGGUCAGAAAGUUCCUGGCACAAAAUGGGUGCAAAAAAACUGGAACUGAUGCAAAAGUGCUGUCCUUUUUAGGGGGCUUUCUUAAAUACCCCCAGUCAAAAUGAAUGGCUGUCCUUCUACUCUCAUAGUCCCCCUUCUGUAUUCUAUUCCAACACUUAUUUUAUAACCAACUAAAUUACUUGUAUGGAUUCUUGUGAAUUCUUUGAGAACAUGAGACAUGCCUUUAUCAUGUUUGCUGGUGACUUAAGUGCCUUGUAGGAAUUAAUUCAUUUAUUUUUAAAAUGUUUGAUUUUUAA
rnacentral:lncRNA from 1 species